AAUUAACCCUCACUAAAGAGAGUUUGAUCCUGGCUCAGGACGAACGCUGGCGGCGUGCUUAACACAUGCAAGUCGAACGAGGUUCAGCCGACCCUUCGGGGAGAGCGAAGACCUAGUGGCGAGCGGGUGCGUAACACGUGAGGWACCUGCCCCGGACUUGGGAAUAACAGUCGGAAACGGCUGCUAAUACCGAAUAUCUCCGUAGCGUCGCAUGGCGCAUCGAAGAAAGCUUUUGCGGUCUGGGAGGGCCUCGCGGCCUAUCAGCUAGUUGGCGAGGUAAUGGCUCACCAAGGCAUCGACGGGUAGCUGGUCUGAGAGGAUGAUCAGCCACACUGGGACUGAGACACGGCCCAGACUCCUACGGGAGGCAGCAGUGGGGAAUAUUGCACAAUGGGCGAAAGCUGAUGCAGCAACGGCGCGUGCGGGAAGAAGGCCUUAGGGUUGUAAACCGCUUUCAGCAGGGAAGUAACUGACGGUACCUGCAGAAGAAGGUGCGGCCAACUACGUGCCAGCAGCCGCGGUGACACGUAGGCACCAAGCGUUGUCCGGAUUUAUUGGGCGUAAAGAGCUCGUAGGCGGUUCAGUAAGUCGGGUGUGAAAACUCUGGGCUCAACCCAGAGACGCCACCCGAUACUGCUGUGACUUGAGUACGGUAGGGGAGUGGGGAAUUCUGGUGUAGCGGUGAAAUGCGCAGAUAUCAGGAGGAACACCAGUGGCGAAGGCGSCACUCUGGGCCGUAACUKACGCUGAGGAGCGAAAGKGGGGGUAGCAAACAGGAU
rnacentral:rRNA from 1 species